AUGACAAUUUCAAUUAGGGCGGUGGUGUUUCUUAGUCUUAUCUAUGCAUCUUUAAUAUCAAUGGUUUGCUCGCAAUCUAUUGCUCCAGCUCCAGCUCCCACGAGUGAUGGCACAUCAAUUGACCAAGCAAUAGCAUAUGUUCUAAUGUUGUUGGCCUUGGUUCUCACUUACAUCAUGCAUUAA